UCAUCACUUUCCAUAGAUCAUCGCUUUUAUCAUUUUCGUUACAACAAUCGUCACAUUUGUCCUGUUUUGGUCCUCAGCUGAUCCUCGGCGGGUCCUCGUGUGCACCUUCUUCUAUUGAACCUGCAA
rnacentral:lncRNA from 1 species